rnacentral:tRNA from 1 species
GUUUUAAUAGUUUAGUUUAAAAACAUUGAUCUUGUAAAUCAAAAUAGAAUUAUAUUCUUAAAACU